rnacentral:rRNA from 1 species
UGGGGAAUAUUGGACAAUGGGCGAAAGCCUGAUCCAGCCAUGCCGCGUGUGUGAAGAAGGUCUUCGGAUUGUAAAGAACUUUAAGUUGGGAGGAAGGGCAUUAACCUAAUACGUUAGUGUUUUGACGUUACCGACAGAAUAAGCACCGGCUAACUCUGUGCCAGCAGCCGCGGUAAUACAGAGGGUGCAAGCGUUAAUCGGAAUUACUGGGCGUAAAGCGCGCGUAGGUGGUUUGUUAAGUUGGAUGUGAAAUCCCCGGGCUCAACCUGGGAACUGCAUUCAAAACUGACUGACUAGAGUAUGGUAGAGGGUGGUGGAAUUUCCUGUGUAGCGGUGAAAUGCGUAGAUAUAGGAAGGAACACCAGUGGCGAAGGCGACCACCUGGACUAAUACUGACACUGAGGUGCGAAAGCGUGGGGAGCAAACA